GAUGAACGCUGGCGGCGUGCCUAAUACAUGCAAGUAGAACGCUGAAGGAAGGAGCUUGCUCUUUCCGGAUGAGUUGCGAACGGGUGAGUAACGCGUAGGUAACCUGCCUGGUAGCGGGGGAUAACUAUUGGAAACGAUAGCUAAUACCGCAUAACAGUAGAUGUUGCAUGAUAUCUACUUAAAAGGUGCAAUUGCUCCACUACCAGCUGGACCUGCGUUGUAUUAGCUAGUUGGUGAGGUAACGGCUCAACAAGGCGACGAUACAUAGCCGACCUGAGAGGGAGAUCGGACACACUGGGAAUGAGAAACGGCCCAGACUCCUACGGGAGGCAGCAGUAGGGAAUCUUCGGAAAUGGACGGAAGUCUGAACGAGCAACGCCGCGUGAGUGAAGAAGGUUUUCGGAUCGUAAAGCUAUGUUGUAAGAGAAGAACGAGUGGGAGAGUGGAAAGUUCACACUGUGACGGUAUCUUACCAGAAAGGGACGGCUAACUACGUG
rnacentral:rRNA from 1 species